UUUCGACCGAACUGACGUGGAUGGCGAGCAGAAAGUGUCAACAUGUAGCUAGUUUUUGGAAGUUUUAGCUUUAAUAAUGGGGGAGACACGCAAGACGGGAGGGAAAAUAUUAGUUUAUCUACAAUGUUAUUUUGUGACAAUAGCCACGAUACUUGGAACUGGAAUAUUAGGCCUGCCAGUUACUCUAAGUAAAUCAGGAAUAUACCCAUUCUUGGUAUCAUUCGUGUUUGGGGCAUUGAUGCAGAUGCUGACAGUGUACUUUUUCACAGAACUUCUUCAGUUGGCCCAUGUCUCCCAGAUCCAGGACUCAAAGGUUUGGCUUUUUCUUCAUAUAUACCCUCCAUUGUAUAUGCUGUAUAUCAUUUUUACCAUCAACAUUUUUGAUAACCAAAAUUACUUUGAUAUGCAACAGUCUCCCAGACGAAGGAUUUGGGUAAAUAUUUUUCUGCAUGUUUUUGAUAGUUGAUGAAUAGGUACACAUAGGACUUGUAGGAUUAAGAUUGGAUAAAUUCACAUACAUGUACUCUGUCAUAGGGAGUUAAACAACAAGGCUUGAUUAUAGACCAUUUAUUUUAAUUACAUAGUCUAGAAGUCAGCUAGGAGUGUUUUGGGUGAUAGGUUGCCAAAAUAUGAUCGUAAAGAGGAAGUAAAGAGGAAGAAGUAACUUAGAAACUGGGCAGCCUCAGGAAUAGAUAGUUCUACCAUAGUUGUUCCCUGCUACUCUUUGAAAACAUGAAUAGUUAAUACUUACCGUACAUGAAAUUGUCCACAUUCCAUAAAUGACAAAAUGUAUCUAACUGAUUACUGCAUAAUGUCUUGUAAUGUUUAGUUGUGUAUACUUUGUAUUCUUUAAGUCAAUCUUUUACCAAAUCACAUACAUUUACUUCACUGCAUUUUUAUCAAUCAACACAGGAGGAGUUGGUGCCAUUGAAUGAUCUGCUGGCGGAUGAGACGUGUGAUGAGCUCGAGGAGGAGGAUGAGACCAGUGACUCUCAAGCUGUGGUAGUCUGUACUGGCAGGUCAUGUGAUCUUACCCAAACAGGCCAGCACCCAACCCCCAAACCUCCAUCUCCUGGGAGAGCUGUUCCUCAGUUGUGGACUUGUUCAGGCCUUUGACAUCAUCCUGGUUCUACAGUUUGUUGCUCUGUUGAUUAGUUACUCUUUAGCAGGAAGUGAAGCAUAUGCUCAAGUUUUAGGAAUCAACUACAUCUACGUGAUCCCGGUGUUCGUGUGGGUGCUGACCUUCCUCAUCGUCUUCGCCCUACAGCUGGUCCAGCCCCUGGUCUCUGUUCUUACCUUCUUCAAAGGUUCUCUCUUGCUUGGAACAGUUGCAGUAACAUUUUAUGUUGGGUCAGAAAUAAACAGAGAGAUUCACAAUGACUUCUCAGCAUUUGGAGAACCAUUCUUAAUGGGAACAGUGGCACUGGGUGGUGUUGUGAAUACAAUGCCUCUGAUGUACAGCAAGAUCAGUCCGGUUAAGAACCAGAUUCAGAAUUUCCGUCUCUCUGUGAACCUCGGUCUUCUGACCUGUACGAUACUCAACAUUCUGUGGUGCUGGGCAUUGCUAGACAUUGUUCCCCAGUUGUCUACAUUCCAGUGUGCCUCCAACACACAAUCUACUGAAUCUCAAGGAAAUCUAUGUCAUAGCAAUAUUUCUCUUCAAAGAUCAGCAAGUGAAGGGGAAAUCUCCACAAUUCCUUUGACUGAGAUUAUCAAGGAGAGAUAUCCUUCCUUUUCGUGGGUUGCUUUCUUGAUUGAGCUGUUUAUCAUGGUCAGCAUCACGGUCUCAUUCCUGACUGUGGGAGCAGUUCUUCACCACACAUUACUAGGUUGGCUUCAAUCAGCAUGGAAAAAAGAUAAGCUGACAGAAUACAGAACACAAACCAAACUGAAAGUGAGGUGUAUAAACGCCAAAUGUUUUUGCAGUACAGUUGUCUCCCUUGCAGUGUUUUGUGUUGUGUUUGGUGUAUCAAUGCUGGAUCCUCAGGGAUUUGUUGAUAUACUGGAGAAGUUUUCCUCUUUUACCAUCAACAUUGAAGUUGCCUUAUUCAUAUUUUUAAUGUGUCAUAAUGCCAGGAAAAAAGAACAUUUAGCACAAAGGAUCUCUUUACCAAUUCCAUCUUUAUUUGGAAAGUUGUUAUAUUUAAUUCCUGUGUACUUUGGCAUAGCUGUGAUAUAUGAUGUUGGGUUAACUAUAUACUCAAUUGUGAAAGUCCACAUGCCAGACGGGGACCGGCAAAGCUCUCUUGCGUCUUCCAUACUGAUGACAACAGUAUUGACAACAGAUGUCCUACAUAACUUGACAUCAGUAACUAAAUCAUCACUGGAAACAUCUACACAACAAUAUGUUACAAAUGUGUUCAAUAAUUCAGAUGUAUGAAUGCUAACUUAUUUCACAUACCCUAUAAUUAUUGUCAUUUAUGUGUCAACCUUAUUAAAGGUAUUAGCUGAAAUUUUUACAACUUAAUAUAAUUUAUCUGUACUUAGCUGGUGAUGUGGUUUUGUGAUCUGCAUUCUGAAAUAUAACUCAGGUUAAUAAUUUAUUGAUCUUAAUUACGGUAUGGAAGUUGUUUAUAUACAAUUAUCAUGAUGGUUGUGACAAUUUGCAUGAUUUCUGUACUAUAUAAGAAAAAGUAUUUAUACAAAAAUAUGUUAUCUGCCUAUUAAACAUGUAACUUAUGGUAUUUAAGUUUGUUACAAAGUAACAAGUUUGUGGUAAAUAUAAAAUUUCUUUGGUUCAACUGACAUAUAAUUUUUAUUUCUCCUGUCCAUCUCUUGUUAUCCUUUGGAUAAAAUUGAUUCUAUCAAUUCACUUCAGUGAUAAACAUAAAAACAGAAUGCAUUAAAUGUUUUGUUGGUUUUUUUUUUACCUGUAUUCUGUUUGAAGUUCGCCUUGCUUCU
rnacentral:misc_RNA from 1 species